UAGGGAAUCUUCGGCAAUGGGCGAAAGCCUGACCGAGCAACGCCGCGUGAGCGAUGAAGGCCUUCGGGUCGUAAAGCUCUGUUGUUAGAGAAGAACAAGUACGAGAGUAACUGCUCGUACCUUGACGGUACCUAACCAGAAAGCCACGGCUAACUACGUGCCAGCAGCCGCGGUAAUACGUAGGUGGCAAGCGUUAUCCGGAAUUAUUGGGCGUAAAGCGCGCGCAGGCGGUCUCUUAAGUCUGAUGUGAAAGCCCACGGCUCAACCGUGGAGGGUCAUUGGAAACUGGGAGACUUGAGUGCAGGAGAGAAAAGUGGAAUUCCACGUGUAGCGGUGAAAUGCGUAGAGAUGUGGAGGAACACCAGUGGCGAAGGCGGCUUUUUGGCCUGUAACUGACGCU
rnacentral:rRNA from 1 species